GAUGAACGCUGGCGGCGUGCCUAAUACAUGCAAGUCGAGCGAACAGACGAGGAGCUUGCUCCUCUGACGUUAGCGGCGGACGGGUGAGUAACACGUGGAUAACCUACCUAUAAGACUGGGAUAACUUCGGGAAACCGGAGCUAAUACCGGAUAACAUGUUGAACCGCAUGGUUCAACAGUGAAAGACGGUCUUGCUGUCACUUAUAGAUGGAUCCGCGCCGCAUUAGCUAGUUGGUAAGGUAACGGCUUACCAAGGCAACGAUGCGUAGCCGACCUGAGAGGGUGAUCGGCCACGCUGGAACUGAGACACGGUCGAAACUCCUACGGGAGGCAGCAGGAGGGAAUCUUCCGCAAUGGGCGAAGGCCUGACGGAGCAACGCCGCGUGAGUGAAGAAGGUCUUCGGAUCGUAAGACUCUGUUAAUAGGGAAGAACAAAAGUGUAAGUGACUAUGCACGUCUUGACGAUACCUAAUCAGAAAGGCACGGCUAACUACGUG
rnacentral:rRNA from 1 species